AGAUACAAUUGUUUGACUUAUAUCAGAUUGAAAUGUAGUUUCUUAGGCUACAUGUGAUGCAUUUUUACCCUGAUAAUUUCAAACCAGUAUGCUAAAACAGCUAGCUAAAGAUUGGCUCACAGGGGUGGGGUGGGUUGUAACACUUCUUUAAAAGUGUUUUAACCAUCCCCUGUACAGACAACGAGGGACUUUUUUGAUUUUAAUAUAUUAAAGAGUGCCCUUUGCAGUCUGGGCCUACCAAACCUGCAUUCCAGGGUUACCAUUGUUCAUUUGUCAGCACUGUGACCAGUACUUCCCAUUCACAUGUUGUUCACAUGUUGGCGUGAGUAUCGGCACUCGAUCUUUUCCUUACUCCGUCUCCAUCGGUGGAGAGGGCAGAAAGGUGUACGGGCAGCUUGUGAGAAAUUCCAGUGCGCAAGAAAAAGUCCUGUUACGCCAAAGAGUAAAAUAUAGAAGUGCUUGUACUACGUACUGGUCCAUUUGUGUGGUUCUGAGCUGUCUUACAGAUGAAGGUUGUGUCUUGCCGCUCCUGUGGGCCUUUUGUGACUCAACCAAGGACAUUUCACCUCACUGCACCACCAGCUGCUACAAAUGCAACUGAAUGUUCUUCAGAGACUGUCAGAGUCCCAAAAUGUUUUAGGAGGGACAAAGGGAGUUUUUGCUUUUAGUUGUAAGCUGAUUUGAGAAGGCAAAUCUGUGUUUUUACAUACUUUUAUUCAGUGUGGACACAAUCAGUCCGUUGAAUGACAUGAAAUUACUUACAGUCAGAAAGUGAAUAAAGAAGAGUAACUCCAAGGGGACUCAUGAUGUUCUCACGAUAAAAAGUGUGACACUGAAAAGAGUCACUGAUCAUCUGUGGGCUUUGAGGCGGUGCGUUGUAUGUUUCCAGUAAGUAAUUAAGUGAUAAAAAAAUAACUUGAAUCACAACAAAUCUGAACAUGCGGAAAAAUACAAUAUGGUAUAACAUAAAACAGCAGCGAUAAAAACAAAUCACACUGUACAAUCAGCAUAGCUCAGACCCAAGAGACCACAUUAUCCUCAUUUUUUUUUGUCAUCACAGUCUUGGCUCCUUCCUUGAGGUUCAGUGUUAUAAUGCAGCCCCAGGCAGACAGCGUCAGGAUUCAUCAGUGACUCAGUGUGUGCAGAGGAUGACAGUGCCAACCUGGAACCAGGAGCGAGUAAUUGUGCUAAUUGUGUCUGUGUCUGACUUCAGUGCAUGACUCUGGGAAAUCAAACAGCACAAACCAGUUACCGUCACUGGUGCAGGUGAUCUUCCAGGUGGAUGUUGUUCUCUGGGGUACGGUGUGAGGAUAAAACUGAUCAGAUACUGGCUGGCAACAUGAUUUAUAAAUGUACUGACAAAUAGCCAUCACAGAGGAUGAUGUAAAAGUCAAAAUACCGGUAUAUUAAAAAAACAGACAUGUAAAAAUAUGUGGCAUCAUUAAUUU